rnacentral:rRNA from 1 species
CCUACGGGGUGCAGCAGUGGGGAAUAUUGCACAAUGGGGGAAACCCUGAUGCAGCGACGCCGCGUGAAGGAAGAAGUAUUUCGGUAUGUAAACUUCUAUCAGCAGGGAAGAAAAUGACGGUACCUGACUAAGAAGCCCCGGCUAACUACGUGCCAGCAGCCGCGGUAAUACGUAGGGGGCAAGCGUUAUCCGGAUUUACUGGGUGAAAAGGGAGCGUAGACGGCAUGGCAAGUCUGGUGUGAAAGGCAGGGGUUCAACCCCUGGACUGCAUUGGAAACUGUCAGGCUGGAGUGCAGGAGAGGUAAGUGGAAUUCCUAGUGUAGCGGUGAAAUGCGUAGAUAUUAGGAGGAACACCAGUGGCGAAGGCGACUUACUGGACUGUAACUGACGUUGAGGCUCGAAAGCGUGGGGAGCAAACAGGAUUAGAUACCCUUGUAGUC